GUUCAUUGUAAUUGCAGUUCUAUGUUGUAUGAGCUUGGUAAAAAGUGCUAUUUAUAAACCGAUCAUUACGCGUGAUGUAGUGAAAAGCUAGCAGAUACAUUUCUUUGUAAACACCUACCACAAAGUAUCACGAUAAAAGUCUGUCUCAGGAUCCAAUCUAGAAGUUCUGAUGGCACUCCAGUAUGUAGAACUAGGUUUGACCUCUGAUUCAGUUAACUCUCUUGCAAGGAAUUCUACAAACUCGUCCAGAGAUAGUUCUGUGCUCAUG